AUUGAACGCUGGCGGCAGGCCUAACACAUGCAAGUCGGACGGUAGCACAGAGGAGCUUGCUCCUCGGGUGACGAGUGGCGGACGGGUGAGUAAUGUCUGGGGAUCUGCCCGAUAGAGGGGGAUAGCCACUGGAAACGGUGGCUAAUACCGCAUAACGUCGCAAGACCAAAGAGGGGGACCUUCGGGCCUCUCACUAUCGGAUGAACCCAGAUGGGAUUAGCUAGUAGGCGGGGUAACGGCCCACCUAGGCGACGAUCCCUAGCUGGUCUGAGAGGAUGACCAGCCACACUGGAACUGAGACACGAUCCAGACUCCUACGGGAGGCAGCAGUGGGGAAUAUUGCACAAUGGGCGCAAGCCUGAUGCAGCCAUGCCGCGUGUAUGAAGAAGGCCUUCGGGUUGUAAAGUACUUUCAGCGGGGAGGAAGGCGAUGUGGUUAAUAACCGCGUCGAUUGACGUUACCCGCAGAAGAAGCACCGGCUAACUCCGUGCCAGCAGCCGCCGUAA
rnacentral:rRNA from 1 species